AACGAACGCUGGCGGCAGGCCUAACACAUGCAAGUCGAGCGCCCCGCAAGGGAGCGGCGGACGGGUGAGUAACGCGUGGGAACGUGCCUCUUGCUACGGAAUAGCCUCGGGAAACUGGGAGUAAUACCGUAUGUGCCCUACGGGGGAAAGAUUUAUCGGCAAGAGAUCGGCCCGCGUUGGAUUAGGUAGUUGGUGGGGUAAUGGCCUACCAAGCCGACGAUCCAUAGCUGGUUUGAGAGGAUGAUCAGCCACACUGGGACUGAGACACGGCCCAGACUCCUACGGGAGGCAGCAGUGGGGAAUCUUAGACAAUGGGCGCAAGCCUGAUCUAGCCAUGCCGCGUGAGCGAUGAAGGCCUUAGGGUUGUAAAGCUCUUUCAGUGGGGAAGAUAAUGACUGUACCCACAGAAGAAGCCCCGGCUAACUCCGUG
rnacentral:rRNA from 1 species